GGAGUGGGAGUGGGAGAGAGAGAGAGAGAGAGGGAGGGAGAUGGGAUUCUGGGAUUUCUUGUAUUCCUGGAAAGUCAGGCCGCCCUUGCAAGACGAUUCAGAGGAGAAGAGAGAGAUGGAGAGGGAGAGGGAGAUGGGAUUUUGGGAUUUCUUGUAUUCUACGACUGAUAAACUCAAAGAAAAUGCGCCCGAUAUGACGGCCGUUAGAGUUCGUACGAUCUGGGCUCUGCUGCCGUUAGGAAGAUCGAUAACGCCGUUAGAGUUGACGGAGCGCAGAAGGUAAAGGAGUACCUGCCCGAUCCUCAAACCAGGGAGAAGAUCGGACGGAUUGCAACCAACGUCGCCAAAUACGGGGCCGAAGCGGCCGUCAGCCAGUCGCUCACAGGGGUCAGAGGUGGCUGGAUCCUGCUAGAAGUGUGCGCAAGGUGAGCAAAACCUAGGAUGCUGGAGAGUGCCACUUGGAUGUAACCAGUUUUGAUGGCUCAACAGGUGGGGUACAAAUCUAUAAGAUUGUUCGAGAUGGACUCAAGGAUCAACCGCCAUCUGAUCAUGCCAGUGAGAAAUCCAAAAGUUGCAAGGAAAUGAUGGAAGAGAUACAGAAGAAGAUGGAUAAAAUGCAGGAAGAAAUAAAUAACAUCAAUCACCAUAACAAGAUAUUACUCGAACGGAUUAAGCAAUGUGAGUCUCCUAAUGAAACAUCACACUUGGAAUUGGUACAAAAGCCUCAAGAUAUCAAAAGCCGUUUAUGAUGAAGGGAUUCUGAGGGUAGUGAUUUCUUGGAUGCUCUGAUAGUUCCUAAGGUCCGGUCUGGCAUAGCUUCUUGUAAAUGCAGAAUUGAUUCUCAAAGAAUGGAUUAGUGUUGGGUUUGGUUUGGUUUGUAAUGAGGGAAUGGGGUUUUUUGUAUGUGUAAUUCUCAAAGAAUGGAUUAGUGUUGGGUUUGGUAACUUUGGUUUGGUUUGUAAUGAGGAAAUGGUUUUUUUUU